rnacentral:rRNA from 1 species
UGAUCCAGAGAUUUCCGAAUGGGGGAACCCACUAUCUUUAGUCGGAUAGUAUCCUUACGUGAAUACAUAGCGUGAGGAAGGCAGACCCAGGGAACUGAAACAUCUAAGUACCUGGAGGAAGAGAAAGAAAAAUCGAUUUCCUGAGUAGCGGCGAGCGAAACGGAAAGAGCCCAAACCAAGAAGCUUGCUUCUUGGGGUUGUAGGACACUCUAUACGGAGUUACAAAAGAAAGUUAUAAAUGAAGCGGUCUGGAAAGGCCCGCCAAAGACGGUAACAGCCCGGUAGUUGAAAUGGCUUUCCCUCCAGAGUGGAUCCUGAGUACGGCGGAACACGUGAAAUUCCGUCGGAAUCCGGGAGGACCAUCUCCCAAGGCUAAAUACUCCCUAGUGACCGAUAGUGAACCAGUACCGUGAGGGAAAGGUGAAAAGCACCCCGGAAGGGGAGUGAAACAGUUCCUGAAACCGUGUGCCUACAAGUAGUUAGAGCCCGUUAAUGGGUGAUAGCGUGCCUUUUGUAGAAUGAACCGGCGAGUUACGAUUUGUUGCAAGGUUAAGCGGAAAAAGCGGAGCCGUAGCGAAAGCGAGUCUGAAUAGGGCGAAUAAGUAACAGGUCGUAGACCCGAAACCAGGUGAUCUACCCAUGUCCAGGAUGAAGGUAAGGUAAUACUUACUGGAGGUCCGAACCCACGCACGUUGAAAAGUGCGGGGAUGAGGUGUGGGUAGCGGAGAAAUUCCAAUCGAACUUGGAGAUAGCUGGUUCUCUCCGAAAUAGCUUUAGGGCUAGCCUCGAGGUAAAGAGUCAUGGAGGUAGAGCACUGUUUGGACUAGGGGCCCUUCUCGGGUUACCGAAUUCAGAUAAACUCCGAAUGCCAUGUACUUAUACUCGGGAGUCAGACUGCGAGUGAUAAGAUCCGUAGUCGAAAGGGAAACAGCCCAGACCACCAGUUAAGGUCCCCAAAUAUAUGUUAAGUGGAAAAGGAUGUGGGGUUGCUUAGACAACCAGGAUGUUGGCUUAGAAGCAGCCA